rnacentral:lncRNA from 1 species
CCAAGGGGACUCUCUCCACCUUCGAGGAUGACCCCAUGCAAGCCCGAAAAUGGGUAGACACAAGUGAGCGAGAGCAUGAUUUCUGAAUGACAAGGAGGACGUUUAUUGGGAGUUGACAGGUGCAGGAGGAAGGGCUGGGCUGGACCAGGGUCGCGGGGGAGACCCUCGCGGGGUCCUGUGGCUCCAGGCCCCUGAGGGUGGGGGCCCAGGACCUAGGCGCACUCGGAGGGCGUCACUGUCUUCUCCACAAUGGUCCCCUCGUGGGUGACCUGGCAGGUGAAGCCGCUGGAAGAUUUCCAGUCACUGCGGACAGGGCCAGGUAGCUGCUGCCGCGUACUUGUUGUUGCUCUGUUUCGAGGGCUUGGUGGUCUCCACAAUGGUCCCCUCGUGGGUGACCUGGCAGGUGAAGCCGCUGGAAGAUUUCCAGUCACUGGCGGACAGGGCCAGGUAGCUGCUGGCCGCGUACUUGUUGUUGCUCUGUUUCGAGGGCUUGGUGGUCUCCACGCCCUGGGUGACGGUGGUGCCGCUGCCUUCCAGUCACCGUCACGGCGCCCGGUAGAAGUCACUUAUUAGACACACCAGGGUGGCCUUGUUGGUGCCGAGCUCCUCAGAGGAGGGCGGGAAGAGGUUGACCGUGGGAGCGGCCUUGGGCUGACCUGGGGGUCGGGGAGAGACGGGAGGUCGUUGGCUCAGUGUCCAUCAGGGGAAUCCCCUGUGCAGGCGAUGGGGACACAGAGUCCCAGGCUGAGCCUUGUCCCCCUGAGGUCAGGUCAGCCACAGGUGGGGUCACUCACCUUGCGUCCGAGCAUCUCAGAGCCCGAAGCCCGGAGCUGGGGGCCUGCUGAAGUCUCCAGCUCCUCCUCAGGCUCCCAUGUCCUCACCCUCCCAGCCUCGCUCCCUCGUGCUGCCUGGAGCCUAACCCGACCGAGGUGCCCUCUUCCCUCGGCAGGUCUGUCGGUCCCGGGCAUCUGUCUGUCUGUCGGAGACCACCCCCCCGCCCCCGUCCGAGGUCUUCCUAGGGGG